UACGGAGGGUGCAAGCGUUAUCCGGAUUCACUGGGUUUAAAGGAUGCGUAGGUGGGCAGGUAAGUCAGUGGUGAAAUCUCCGGGCUUAACCCGGAAACUGCCAUUGAUACUAUCUGUCUUGAAUACCGUGGAGGUGAGCGGAAUAUGUCAUGUAGCGGUGAAAUGCUUAGAUAUGACAUAGAACACCAAUUGCGAAGGCAGCUCACUACACGAAUAUUGACACUGAGGCACGAAAGCGUGGGGAUCAAACAGG
rnacentral:rRNA from 1 species